UACGUAGGGGGCAAGCGUUAUCCGGAUUUACUGGGUGUAAAGGGAGCGUAGACGGAUGGACAAGUCUGAUGUGAAAGGCUAGGGCUCAACCCCGGGACUGCAUUGGAAACUGCCCGUCUUGAGUGCCGGAGAGGUAAGCGGAAUUCCUAGUGUAGCGGUGAAAUGCGUAGAUAUUAGGAGGAACACCAGUGGCGAAGGCGGCUUACUGGACGGUAACUGACGUUGAGGCUCGAAAGCGUGGGGAGCAAACAGG
rnacentral:rRNA from 1 species